AAAACAGUGUAAAGGCCCGGAAGGAGAAGAAAAGAGUUUUGGAGCAAAUGAGAGUUUAGCAGUUAAUAGUACCAGUUACGAAUCAGUUUAUUUUCCUUGGACUUUCUGUGUGCGUGAAUGUAAAAAAACCACACACAUUCGUCUAAUAAAUGGUAAAGGAAG